GGCCGACUGGCGAAAUGGCAUCGCGUUUGACUACGACGGUAUGCUUAUGUAAUAAGCUGCUUACGUAAGCAUGAUCAAAAGAUUGCAGGUUCGAGCCCUGCGUCGGUCA